GACGAACCGUCCAAACGUUAUUCGGAAUCACUGGGCUUACAGAGUUCGUAGGCGGUCUGGAAAGUUGGGUGUGAAAUCCCUCGGCUCAACCGAGGAACUGCGCUUGAAACUACCAGACUCGAGGGAGAUAGAGGAAAGCGGAACUGAUGGUGGAGCGGUGAAAUGCGUUGAUAUCAUCUGGAACACCGGUGGCGAAAGCGGCCCACUGGGUCUUUUCUGACGCUGAGGAACGAAAGCUAGGGUAGCGAACGGG
rnacentral:rRNA from 1 species